UUAAGUCAGCUAACAACGGGAGCGAGUGUCUACUAACGUUACAAGUUCUUGUAGGCUCUGAAAGUCUGUGGGAAAUUCUGCUCACUUCAAAGCGUUUUUCGGAAAAGCAAACCGUGCGUUUCUCGUUGCCUCGGAGGAGAUGUAGGGCGGUUCCCUUUAGAGGCGUGA